rnacentral:rRNA from 1 species
AUACGGAGGACGCGAGCGUUAUCCGGAUUCAUUGGGUUUAAAGGGUGCGCAGGCGGCCGUGCAAGUCAGCGGUGAAAGCCCGGGGCUCAACCCCGGAAGUGCCGUUGAUACUGCAUGGCUGGAAUGCGGUCGAGGCGGGCGGAACGUGGCGGGUAGCGGGGAAAUGCGUAGAUAUGGCACAGAACGCCGAUAGCGGAGGCAGCUCGCCAGGCCUGCAUGGACGCUCGGGCACGAAAGCGUGGGGAUCGAACAGGAUUAGAUACCCUGGUAGUCCACGCCGUAAACGAUGGGCGCUCGUCGUCGGCGGCAGACAGUCGGCGGCCAAGCGAAAGCGAUAAGCGCCCCACCUGGGGAGUACGGUCGCAAGGCUGAAACUCAAAUGAAUUGGCGGGG